rnacentral:rRNA from 1 species
CCUGGCUCAGAACGAACGCUGGCGGCAGGCUUAACACAUGCAAGUCGAGCGCCCUCUUCGGGGGGAGCGGCGAACGGGUGAGUAACGCGUGGGAACGUGCCCUUUCCUCCGGAAUAGCCUCGGGAAACUGAGAUUAAUGCCGGAUACGCCCUUUUGGGGAAAGAUUUAUCGGGGAAGGAUCGGCCCGCGUUGGAUUAGGUAGUUGGUGGGGUAACGGCCUACCAAGCCGACGAUCCAUAGCUGGUUUGAGAGGAUGAUCAGCCACACUGGAACUGAGACACGGUCCAGACUCCUACGGGAGGCAGCAGUGGGGAAUAUUG